UGAGACCUACGGGGGGCAGCAGUGGGGAAUAUUGCACAAUGGGCGAAAGCCUGAUGCAGCAACGCCGCGUGAAGGAAGACGGUUUUCGGAUUGUAAACUUCUAUCAAUAGGGAAGAAAGAAAUGACGGUACCUAAAUAAGAAGCCCCGGCUAAAUACGUGCCAGCAGCCGCGGUAAUACGUAUGGAGCAAGCGUUAUCCGGAUUUACUGGGUGUAAAGGGAGCGCAGACGGCAAGGCAAGUCUGAUGUGAAAGUCCGAGGCUCAACCUCGGGACUGCAUUGGAAACUGUCUGGCUAGAGUGCAGG
rnacentral:rRNA from 1 species